CAGAGCCAAACCAUAUCAAGCAUAUCAUCUUCAAACAAGGAUAACUUGAUUUCUUCUUUUCCAAUUUGGAUGCCCUUUAUUUAUUAUUGCUCUUGUCUGAUUGCUCUAGCUAGAACUUCCAGCACUAUAUUGAAUAACAGUGUUGAAAGUGGGCAAACUUGUCGUGUUCCAGAUAUUACAUAAAAAACUUUCUGUUUUUCUCUGUUCAGUAUGAUAUUAGCUGUAGGUGUGACAUAUAUGGCUUUUAUUGUGUUGAGACAGUAUUUUGUUGAGGAUUUUUGCAUCAAUAUUCAUCAGACUUGCUUUGUGACCUAAUAUAUGGUGUAUCCUUGAGCAUGAUUCAUGAGCUAAAGAGAAGAAUGUGUAUUCUGUAGCCAUUGGAUGAAAUGUUCUGUAGAUAUCUAUUGGAUUUAUUUGCUCUAUAGUGCAGAUGAAGUCUGAAGUUUCUUUGUUGAUUUUCUGCUAGAUGAUCUUUCCGGUGCUGAAAGCAGCGUGUAGAAUUAUGCAGCUAUUAUUGUAUUGGGGCCGAUCUUUCUUGUUAGCUCUAAUAAUGUUUGCUUUAUAUAUGUUGGUAUUCUUUUGUUUGGUGCAUAUAUAUUUAUAAUUGUUAUAUCCUCUUACUGAAAUGACUCCUUUAUCAUUAUAUAAUGAGCUUUCUUGUCUCUUAUAGUUUUUGUCUUCAAAUCUAUUUUGUCUGGUAUAAGUAUACCUACCCUUGCUCUCUUUUGGCUUCCAUUGGCAUGACAUAUCUAUCUUUUUCUAUCCCUUUAUUUUCAGGCUAUGUGUGUCUUUAUAGGUGAAGUGUGUUUUUGUAGCAA
rnacentral:lncRNA from 1 species